UACGUAGGGUGCAAGCGUUGUCCGGAAUUAUUGGGCGUAAAGAGCUCGUAGGCGGUUUGUCGCGUCUGCUGUGAAAACCCGAGGCUCAACCUCGGGCCUGCAGUGGGUACGGGCAGACUAGAGUGCGGUAGGGGAGAUUGGAAUUCCUGGUGUAGCGGUGGAAUGCGCAGAUAUCAGGAGGAACACCGAUGGCGAAGGCGGCUCUCUGGGCCUUACCUGACGCUGAGGAGCGAAGCGUG
rnacentral:rRNA from 1 species